CAAUAGCGUAUAUUAAAGUUGUUGCAGUUAAAAAGCUCGUAGUUGGAUCUCGAGCAUUGCUCGGUGCGGUGCGCCGAAUGGCUGUUACUGCCCGGCAGGCUCCAUGUUCGGUUUUCCCUUGUUACCCUUCACUGGGUGGCUUGGGUUGCCGGAAAUUUUACUUUGAAGAAAUCAGCGUGUUCAAAGCAGGCAAUUGCCUGAAUGUUAGUGCAUGGAAUAAUGGAAUAGGACCUUGGUUCUAUUUUGUUGGCUUUCGGAGCCAAGGUAAUGGUUAAGAGGGACAGACGGGGGCAUUCGUACUGCGGUGUUAGAGGUGAAAUUCUUGGAUCACCGCAAGACGAACUACAGCGAAAGCUUUUGCCAAGAAUGUCUUCAUUAAUCAAGAACGAAAGUCGGAGGUU
rnacentral:rRNA from 1 species